rnacentral:tRNA from 1 species
UGUCCGGUAGAUCAGUCGGUUAGAUCGUCUUGCUGAUAAUGCGAAGGUCGUGGGUUCGAACUUUACCCGGGCAA